UUAAGCCUACGGGGGGCAGCAGUGGGGAAUAUUGGGCAAUGGGCGCAAGCCUGACCCAGCAACGCCGCGUGAAGGAAGAAGGCCCUCGGGUUGUAAACUUCUUUUGUCAGGGACGAAGCAAGUGACGGUACCUGACGAAUAAGCCACGGCUAACUACGUGCCAGCAGCCGCGGUAAUACGUAGGUGGCAAGCGUUAUCCGGAUUUACUGGGUGUAAAGGGCGUGUAGGCGGGGAAGCAAGUCAGAUGUGAAAUUCCAGGGCUCAACCCUGGAACUGCAUUUGAAACUGUUUUUCUUGAGUGAUGG
rnacentral:rRNA from 1 species